rnacentral:rRNA from 1 species
AGUGAACGCUGGCGGUAGGCCUAACACAUGCAAGUCGAACGGCAGCACAGGAGAGCUUGCUCUCUGGGUGGCGAGUGGCGGACGGGUGAGGAAUACAUCGGAAUCUACUUUUUCGUGGGGGAUAACGUAGGGAAACUUACGCUAAUACCGCAUACGACCUACGGGUGAAAGCAGGGGACCUUCGGGCCUUGCGCGAUUGAAUGAGCCGAUGUUGGAUUAGGUCAGUUGGCGGGGUAAAGGCCCACCAAGGCGACGAUCCGUAGCUGGUCUGAGAGGAGGAUCAGCCACACUGGAACUGAGACACGGUCCAGACUCCUACGGGAGGCAGCAGUGGGGAAUAUUGGACAAUGGGCGCCAGCCUGAUCCAGCCAUACCGCGUGGGUGAAGAAGGCCUUCGGGUUGUAAAGCCCUUUUGUUGGGAAAGAAAUCCAGCUGGCUAAUACCCGGUUGGGAUGACGGUACCCAAAGAAUAAGCACCGGCUAACCUCGUGCCAGCCGCCGCGGUAA